rnacentral:rRNA from 1 species
UACAUGGGGUGCAAACGUUGCUCGGAAUUAUUGGGCGUAAAGCGCACGUAGGCGGAUUUGUAAGUCAGGGGUGAAAUCCCGAGGCUCAACCUCGGAACUGCCUUUGAUACUGCAAAUCUCGAGUCCGGAAGAGGUGAGUGGAAUUCCUAGUGUAGAGGUGAAAUUCGUAGAUAUUAGGAAGAACACCAGUGGCGAAGGCGGCUCACUGGUCCGGUACUGACGCUGAGGUGCGAAAGCGUGGGGAGCAAACAGGG